rnacentral:rRNA from 1 species
AACUUUCAACAACGGAUCUCUUGGUUCCAGCAUCGAUGAAGAACGCAGCGAAAUGCGAUAAGUAAUGUGAAUUGCAGAAUUCCGUGAAUCAUCGAAUCUUUGAACGCACAUUGCGCCCUCUGGUAUUCCGGGGGGCAUGCCUGUCCGAGCGUCAUUACACCAAUCAAGCACG